CUAAAGACUAUGAAAAUAGCAUCAGUACUUUCCUAACUCCUGACAACACUUCAUGUCACACAUUGUAGCACUGCAAUGGCUUUCCCACAAUGGCACUGCAUCAGAAGCUUAUGAUCGACUUGUGUCUGACCACAGCUGAAAUAAGCAUGUUUCUGCAGACCAACACCGUCUUGAUUUGCUGAUAGAGAACUUGCAGAGCUGAGUGCUUCGGUCAAUAUCUACUUUUUUUCUAGUCAACUGGCUCUUUACAUGGCUCAUUUCUAAACACCACUGAUCACUUUGUAACUUCCUUUUCGAAACCACAUGGAUACACAAAAGGAGUUUCCGCUGCAAAAAGGAAAUACCUACUUGCUCAUUCCCUUCACUCACCUGCUGUGUAACCAAGCCCUGGUUUAGUCAGUGCAUGCUGCCGCAGACACACAGGGAUGUUGGGGUGAAAUUGCUCACUUAAAUGGCUGUUUUACUUCUGCUUUUUCUGGGACCAAAGAACCACAUAAAAUACUGGGAAGAUAGAUUGGAAGUCAGAGGCAACCCAGACCUACCAGCAGCAGCAAAAUGAAAACUGGAGACACUGAAUGAUAAUGACACAACUGAGUUGGUAAAAACUCAACUGAUGGAGCUCUCAUGUGGAACAUAUUGUGUCUACAGUGUUACAGGUUUUACAAGUCCUACAGGGAAAAUGAUGAACCACACAAUGUAGUCACAACACAAAAGGUCCGUCAGGAAUGAUGUCUCUUACAGAAUUUGUUAACAAACAGCAUGAAGCAAAGCUUCCACUACCUUCUUUGAACUGUAUGCACCAUCAUCAGAACUUCUAAGCUAUGUUUUGGGACAACUUGCCAUUUCUAAUAUUACAUUGUAGCCUAAGAAUGUUGAUCUUUCGGAUUCCUGUGAAACAACAUCUAUUAGAAGGAUACAAUCCCAAGCUACAUGAAGGCAAAAAGCAUCUCGGAUUGUGUUGAGGCUAGCAGUGUUUCUAAUGAACAGCAGUGAAUUAGCCUGCUAUUAUGAACUUCUGCAGGAGUUGAGAAAUUUAAAUAUGAUGUUUAAUAACUGAAAUAUUCCAUCAAUUAACCUUUCAACUCAAAAAUAGCCCAGGUGAUACCAAGUCUUCAAAAGCAGAUCGGUAAUAGAACACGACUGAAAUUAUUCUGACAGCCCUAACCAAAUGAAUCCUUUCUCUGAAUUCUGAGGUGUGAUUCAGGUGUUCAUGUGAAACAUAACCCUAGUGUUAGUUAAGCCUGCAUGGCUAACCUAUAUCCUAGUCUCCUCUUUGGCCAAAUCUUAGCUUCAGAGAUUGCUACCAGAGUAAUUCCAAACUUGUCAGCAUGUUUCUUUCAAUCAGGCCUCGUGAAGGGGCAGCUGAGCCAAACGUGCCCUGGGUCGGUUGUGUAAGGCUAGGCCAUCAACCUAUAGAUCACCUCUAAAGCUAGAAGAGCCUGUAGCUAAGCAGAACUGCAAACCAGUGUCCUUCAGCUGAGCUGAAAUGGGGCCUCAGGUGGGGCUGCCCAGUUUGUUAAGUGCCCUCAGGGCCCUUCCGGUGCUCCCUUGGGACUGAGGCAGAUUGGUCAGUGUGCACCUGAGGGGGCAGUCCUGUCAGGAGCAGCUGGGCGCGUGCAGUGUUCAGGCCCUCCCUCUUUUUUUCUGUGAUGAGGCACCUCUUUUUGGGAUUUAGUUUCCCCAAAGUCUGAGUUGCAAGGAUAAUCAAGCUUUUUGGGCUGUGGAGAGUGGAAGAACUUGAGUAAAUGACUUCUGCUUUGGCUGGGGCCUUGCAGCAGGCUGCAGGAAAAACUCCACAGGUGCAGCAGCCAUUGGUACCAAAGCAAGAGGACUCUGCUGCUGUCCUGGAAAGCUGUUAAUGUGGUGAGUUUUGACAUGGCAGGAUUACUGAGAGUGCAGUAAGUGGACAGUCUCAUUUCAUGUUUUAUUGGUUGCUGUCCUGAUGCAAAUGCAGACGUGACAUCUGUGAGUUGUGUUUGGAGCUGGGAACGUGAGCUCUGCCAGCAGUGAAGUUACGCCAUGGCUGGGUUUAUCUGUGCAUCUGUAAGAAUUUAUGCUGUAAGCAUUAUGCUUGUUGGGUUGGGAAAGAAAGUACAUGGCCAAAUCCUGAUCUCAGUUGCACGUGUGGAGCUCCCAAGGCAGUAGGGCUGCAUCCUGGCUCAGCACAUGGCCUAAUGAGGUCUUGCAUGAUUGCGAAUAAUGUGCAUGGCACACUGGAGAGUCAGCAAACAACUGUUCUCAGUUUUGUUGUGCUCUCUGCACUGCAGCAUCUGUUUUGCUUCAUCAUUUUUUAAAAGAGAACCACAACUAUUUUUUCACUAGGGAGCUGAUAAAUAACAGUGCUUAUGUUUUUAAAGAAGUUCUGGGGAGAAGGAAGUGAUUCUUCUUCUGUUUAAAUUCCUUAUAUUUGGAGUUGAGCAUUGAUUCACAAACUGUAUCUCAUUGUUUUGCCUCCAGAUCAGAAAAUCCUAUGGGGUAUUCUUCCCUAGGAAAUCACAUGGGAUGGGAUUUGUUUUUAUUUGUGUAUGCAACUUUGCAUAGAAUUCUCUUUCAUGGCAGUAUUUUAUUUAUUUUUAAUGGACAUAUGUAUUUCUUUAAAAAAUUGGGACACUGGGAAGUAUUUAAAACUCGUCAAUGAAAACUUAAAUGAAAUAAAUUGCAGCUUUGUG
rnacentral:lncRNA from 7 species